GCCAGCCUGGUCUACAAAGCGAGUUCCAGGACAGGCUCCAAAGCUACACAGAGAAACCCUGUCUUAAAAAAUUUUUUUAAAAAAGAAAGAACCCCCAAAAUGCCCUUCCUUGGGGUAGCUCAGCUCAUUGGCAUCUUUCAGUUCUCAGCUGGACUAUCUCCUCCCUGAAGAGGUCUCCCUUACCCCCAACCCUCUCUACCUCCCCAGCAGUCACCUCACCCCCGCCAUCCCCUCCAUUUCUUUCCCUUCCUUUUUAAAGUAGCUAGUUUGUUCCUAAGCUUGUGUUCUUGUUUUCUUUCUUGCUGUUCCUCCAGGAUACAAGCUCUGUGCAGUCGGAGCCUGGUGGGCAGAGUGGCUAAGCAGAAGCGGCUGGGGCGGAGCAGCCUAGGGAGAGAGCAGGUCAGAGAGUGGACAUCCAGGUGGAGGGCUGGAAAAGCUAAUCAUGGUAGUCAACUUGACACACCCACGAAGAGGGAAACUCAGGUGAGGCAUUGCCUCCAUGAGACUGGCCUGUGAGCAUGUCUGGGGGGCAUUUUCUGAUUGUUGGGUGAUGUAGAAUGGCACUGCCCACUGUGGGUGGCACCAUCCCCAGGCAGGUGGGCUGCGUAAGAAAGGUAGCUGAAUGUGAGCCAGAAGCAAGCCAGCGAGUAAGCUGAGUGAGUCAUGUUUGUUCCUCUGGGGUUUCUGCUUCAAGCUCCUGCCUUGGUUUCCUUGGUGGGCUGUAACUUGUAAGAUGAAAUGAACUUUUUCCUAAGUUGCUUUUGGUUAUGGUGCUUAACACAGAGACAGAAAGCAUACUAGGACUAGGGCAGGUAAAGGCGCUUGCCACCGAGCGUGGGGGCUUACGUCAGAUCCUGGGCAGCCACGGAAUGCAAGGAGAGAACAGACUCCAACACGUGUGGACCGAGGCAUAUCCGUGAGUGGGCUGUCACAUGCAGUCACUCAUGGUUAUUAUGCACACACGCAUAGUAGAAAAACAUUUAAAAACAAAUAUUCUAAAACAGCCACACACGGCUUGCAUGUAGCAUUCCUUCUCUAUGUAGGCAUGAGAUAAAUUUGGGCUUCUAUUACUGGGUCCAUCUAGAAGACACAGGCUUUGUGCAUCUUAAUUUUGUUUUAAAGAUUCUCUUUUCUGUCUAUCCAUUUAUUCAUUAACUACAAAUUUCACUGUGUGGUAGACAUUCUUUGGGAGUUCGGCUACCUCCUCAGGACAUCUGUACUGCUGCUUAACAUUGAAAUGGGAGUCUGACUUCUAAAUUUAUUUUUUAAAUUAUCUUUUCGUGUGUGUGUGUGUGUGUGUGUGUGUGUGUGUGUGUGUGUGUGUGUGUAAGUGUGUGUAAGAGAGAGAGAGGGAGAGAAAGAGAGAGAGCGUUUAUGUACCCCACAUGCAUGCAGAAUCCUGAGGAGCAGAAGAGGGCAUCAGAUAUCCUUGAUCUGCAGUUACAGACAAUGGUGAGUUGCCAUGUGGGUGCUGGGGAUUGAACCCUGGUCCUCUGGAAGAGCAGCCAGUGUCCUUAACCCCUGAGCUGUCUCUCCAGCCCCCUGACUUCUAAAUUCAAAUGCAUAUAUUUUAAAGUCACUUUUGAGGUACAAUUUAUACGCAACAAAAUGAUCUCAUUUUAAGUGUCAGAAAAUUUGGUUUUUGUUUUAAUUUUGUUUAUUUAGUUUAUUAGUUUAUGUAUGUGGGUAUUUUGCCUCCAUGUAUGUCUGUACACCAUGUGCUUGCCUACUGCCCAUGGGAGGACAGAAGGUGACAGAUUCUCUGGAACUGGAGGUACAGAUGCUUGUAAGCUGCCAUGUGGGUGCUGGGAAUUGAACCAGGCCCUCUGGAAAAGCAGCCAGUGCUCUUGACUGAUGAGCUGUCUGUCCAGCUCCAAACAUUUUGACAGACAUACACAGUCAUAGAACCACAGCGGCAGUCAAAUGCAGAGCAUAGAGGUUACCCCCUGAGUCUGUACUGAAGGCCCCAAAUCCCUUCAACAUAAUGUAUGGAGGGAUGUAGCUCAGUGGUAGAGCAUUUGCCCAGCAUGUGUGAGGUUCAGGGUUCAGUCCCCAGCACCACACAGAGCAAGAGGACAGCUGAAAAGCCAAUGGAAGGGGGAAGUCAGAAUCCUCAUCACAUCCCACAGAAACUGAGCACAGGAUUGGCGUGGAAACGAGAUGCACACGCAUCAGGAUCAGAUCCUAACAAGACAAUAUCUGCAGAAGCUGAGAGCCCGGAUGAGAGAGCACGAAAGCUUGAGAGAUGGUGGCCCCCUGGGUAAAAACUGCACAAGCCUGAUGACCUGAGUGGCCUGGUGACAGGCACACAGCAGACCCCCAACAAUGAUCUAUUGACAUUGAGUGGAGAGCUAGAAAAAUGAAACAGAAGGCGGACUGGUAAAAUACAGCCACACACGCAUGAAGACCUGAGUUCGAUUCCCUAGAACCCACUUUAAAAAGCUGGGUGGCACACACUUGUAACCCUGGUGCUAGGGAUGAAGGGACAAGCAGAUUCCUGGGGCUUGCUGGCUAGCCAGCCUAGUCAAAUUGUCAACGCCAAGCCAGUGAGAAACUGCAUCCAAAAAACAAGGUUAAUGGUUCCUGAGGAAUAACACUCCAGGUUUACCUCAGACCUCCACAUGAAAAUGCACACACAUGUGCAUGAUACUCCCAACUCACAUACACAUAUACAUGCAUGCACGCGCGCGCGCGCGCGCACACACACACACACACACACACACACAAAAAAAAAAAAAAACACAUGCACACAAAAUACUCAAACACCCAUGUCUUCCUCAGGUUACUGAACUGUUGCUCUAACAAUCUGCCCAUGUUAAUCAAGGAAGGCUUUCCAGAGGAGGCGACCCGUGAACAGGAACUUGACAGAGUGCAUUCUCCUACUUACCAGACAGAUAGGGAAAGAGAAGCACAGAGAAGUAAUGAAAUUUGUUCAAGGACACACAGGAGGAAGAGAGAAACAGGGGCUAGACAGAACCCAGCACUUGGGGUCCCAACCCAUUCCUCCCAAGCGCCAGGUGGGUCCUAGAGCAGCAGGCAAGAGGGAACCUGGGGAGAGACUCCCAGCCAGAGUCUGGAAUCCAUUUGCCAGGCCAGCAGUGUUUUCCCAGGGAGAAGUGGGAGGCCCUGGCCUGUCCCCUCCCCAACACCAUCUGUUCCCUGUUUAUUUAUUUAUACUUAAGUCUCACCCUCCAGCCCUGCUGGGGGCACCAAACAUACCAGCGUCCCUGCAGAGACAGCUAAGGGGCCAGAGGGACUGUCAGACCGGUAGGAUCGGGCCUAAAGGGCUCAUGCCCCAGCAUGGCUGUCCCUACUGUGAAGCUGCCUUACCUUAGUUCAUACUAGAGGCUCCCGUGUGAGCUUGGAAGGGCAGAGCCAGCACAGCAUGGUGGCCUGAGCCCAGCACGGCCACCAUCAGCCAAAGACUGCUGCCCAGUUCAGUGACGCUGCUCCAUUCCAUAUCUGCAGGGUCAGCUCACACAUCAUUGAAGGCCCACCAAGACACAGCCCCUGUGCCCUCUCCAGGACCCUCCCCCCAGGCCCUGGCCUUGUGGAGGUUAGUGAUGCUGGUGCUCCUGGAGUCAAGAUUGUCUGCUCAUCUGCAGGGAAGGCACAGCGGCAUGAAGCAGCGAUUUCACCUCUGUUCCCCAGAGGCCGCCCUGGUAAAAGCCAGUUGUGGAUAUGUCCAAUUGAUGCAACGACAAUUCAGUAUGCCUGGGUGACAUCCUGAGUUCUUGGCACAUGUGACUGCAUCCCAUCCUGACAACCACCCCAGAAGGUGUGACUACCUCCCGCUUUGUGUGGAUGACAGACAGAGGCUGAGUAUCUUGCCCAAAGUCACACAGCUGACUGUGACGGAGGUGGGAAAUGCCUGUGAGAUACCUGCUAGACAGAAAGAGUACUGCUGUUGGCUCUGCACAGAAGAGGGCAUGGGGCAGAGAUGCUUGUGGUUUUGAAGAGGGACCCGAGGCACAGGCCAGUGACUGGUAACAACUCUUCCCUGUCUCCGCUCACUUGAGAACAGGUAAGGAAGGGGUCACUUCUUCCUUGCACCCUCUUGCUCUGUCUCCUCAGGAAUCCUAGGUGGUCUGUGGAAGAGAUCACUGGCCAAGAAUUGGGACCUCAAAGAUAGUCUGUUAGAUCCCUGCUGGCUCUACCCCACCCCCAGCCUGGGCUCUCCACAGCCCCUUCAGCGGGAAUUCCUCAGUCCAGCAUGGAGUUCCGGUGGAUUUUAUGGGCCAGCCACAAGCAGACAAACGGAGAAGAAAAACAUCCCCCUGGAGCCCACUGGCCUCUCAGAACCUCACUUCCGCUCAGCCGGAAGGAUGCUGAGCUGUUUUAACCCUGUGUGGGAGGUGACCUCGGAGAUGGAUUCAAGAUCCUCCCUGCCCCCACCCUGAAUUGACACUGGUCUUUCCCAAGACUCUACUUUCCCCCAAGCAUUCGGCAAAGCUGUUUCAAAGGUUGGUGAGAUGUCGGAGGAUGAGGAAACCUGCCACCAAGCCCGACAACCUGAGUGUGAUCCUUGGAUCACAUAUGGUGAAGGAGAGAACUGACCCCUUCAGUUGUCUUCCGACCUCCACACAGGCAUGAUGGCAUGCAUGCCCCAAUUCCCCAGUAAAUAAAAAAAACAAACAAACAAAAACAUAAAGGCACCUGAUACCUGUUUGUGAUCACGGCGAAUCGACUUAUUGGGUAGUACAGUAUGGCAGACUCGCAGCCAACUGUCCUGUGAGAAUGGGCCCAAGACAAGUGUAGGAAAUAGGCAGUAAGGUGGGCCAGCAUGGGUUUGCACGCAUGGGAGCUGGAGAUCCAGCUGGGCCUGUCUGGUUGGAAAGAUCUUAAUCCUGGCUGUGCAGAUGGAACUGUCUCUCUGAAACCGGCUUCGUGAGACAGUUGUGUGCCAUCGGGGGAAGGGAGCAGGGAAGGAUGCCAAGCAGACACACUGUUGGGACUUGACACGUCACAGCCACUGUUACUGUUGCUGUCCCUUGCGUCCUUCCUCAAACCUGGCAGGGAGACCCCAGUGCCCACAUUUCGUAAGUGGCACAAGCUCCCUUACUUGCCCUGUGCCCCACUUUCCCACUUACCAACCCGGAUUUUGAGGACUGAGCAUAUUAAACUCCAGUCAGUCCCUACAGGUUCUGUGCGGGUAAAAUUUGUCUGAACUCCACAUGGACAGUAACGAGAGUGUGAAUGGGGAGACUAGGCAAGAGGUGGUGAUAACAUGAGUCACCUGAGCACAAGUUCCCAGCUAAGGCCGGACAGAUCAGCACUGCCUCCCGCUCAGCCUGUCACAGUGUCUAUUUCAGACCACGUUUCCCAACCUGUUGUGCUUUUGGGUGGUGACUUGACUGUUUAAAAUGAUCCUUUGUGUUGCAUGGCAUCCCAUCUAAUGUUCCUUACUACAAAAAGAUAUGUGUGUUAAAUCAGUUUUGUUGAAGUGUGAGGCAUGAUGUCACAGUGAACUCAAAGUGAGUGACAAGGACUCACAUUGCAAAAGGGGUCCCUCAGCAGAGGUCCCCCAUCACCAAGGAAUUGACUAUUGAUAAAAAUGUGACUAGCAGGCUCCUGGGAGCAAGUGCUGAACAUCACUGCUUCAGGGGAGAUGCAUCUGAAGCGACCGAACAGCCUAGAGUCACAGAGCGUAGUGAACCCCACAGUACUGACAGGCUUGGGGGAUCUGCAGGCAUGGUCGUGAGUCACAGUACAACCACUGUCACCAGCUGGUGCGUCCACCACAGCGAGGGCUUGUUCUGUGGUGUCUACAGCUUCACCUGGGAAGCUGUCAUCUGUCAGGACUGGCUACAGUUGAUGGCUCUGGACUCAUGAGAAUUCAUUUACAGACCUGCUCCCUGGACCUGGCCAACAGAGAGAACAGAGCAGUCAGAAGCACUUCAUCCAGUCUCUACAGCCAUACCUUCCUCUCAGCGUGGUAGCCCCAGGACACCAAAAUUCUUUCAGUUGCAACUCUGAGCCCCAAAAGCGAGAGGGACCCAGAGAGCAAGCCAGAAGCUGCUGCACCUGUGGCCCAGUGUCUAAGGUCACAGAAGGUCAGCUCUGCCACGUGACUGGAGCUGCCCCUUUGCCCGCCCAGACUCACUGAACAGGGACAGAGAGCUGGGAUUUCAUUUCAUUUCCUCUCAUGAGACAGAGUUGUACUAGGUAGCUCAGUUAACCUCAAACUUGUGGUCCCUCUGCCUCAGCCUCAUGUGUGCUGCAAGCCUCAUUCCUGGCUCAGACCCUAGGUCUCUUUUUUUAAUAAUUUAUUUUUAUUUUAUGUAUAUUGGUGUAUUGCCUGCAUAUAUGUCUGUGUGAGGGUAUUAGACCCCCUGGAAUGAGUUUACAGACAGUUGUGAGCUGCCAUGUGGGUGCUGGGAAUUGAAUCCGGGUCAUCUGGAAGAGCAGCCAAUGCUCUUAACCAUUGAGCCAUCUCUCCAGCCCCUCAGAUCCUAGAUCUUUAAAAAAAAAAGUUAUUAGUAUAUAGUGAUUAUACAUGGUAGCAGUCUUUGUUAUGAUAUUGUCACAUAUGUCUAUAAUAUAAUUUUAUUAUAGUUACCCCUGUUCCCUUCUCUUGUCUCAUUCCUACUGGUGCCCUUCCCCUUCCCAGUUAGUCCUUCUUCUGAACACAGGCUCCAUCCUGCAGGGAAGCUCCUUAAACAGGAAGGUAAACAACUCAAAACAGCUUCAGGAAGUCCCUGAAACUGACUGGAUUCACUAGUCCCCUCCCUGCCAGAGAAAGCAAUGAAAGCUCAGAGUCCCUCAGUAGCUGAACUGAGCUGAGCUACAAAGAAGAUCCUCAGCCAAGCUGAGGUAAAAGAAGCAGAAACCAGCGGAGCUGCCUGAAAGACAUUUAGACCAACUGAACUACAUGCAAGGACACUUUUCAACCAGUUGAGCUGCCUGCAGGCUGUGCAGUGUGCUCCAGAUUCCCACCCAACUUUGUGAGCUGUCACCCAUGCUGGGGUGGGCUUUGGUGAUACAGCUGUCUUUGAGACAUUUCUGCUCCUAUAAGCAACCCCCACCCAUACUCCUGUAAGUAACCCCUUAAAACUCAUUGGUUCACCAAGUUGGACCGGGAUAGUACCUGUACUUUGGUCUGUCACGGGUUCCCUACCUGGGUGAGUAGACGUGUGUUACAUCUCCUCAGGAAAAGUUUUGUUACAGAACAGUGGUGUGUGUGUGUGUGUGUGUGUGUGUGUGUGUGUGUGUGUGUGUGUGUAUACAUGUGUGCUGUGGGAUGUAAAUAUGUGUUGCUCUGAUUGGUUGAUAAAGAAAAUGCUGAUUGACCAGUAGCCAGGCAGAAAGUAUAGGCGGGAAAAGCAGACAAUGAGAAUUCUGGGAAGAGGAAGGCUGGGUCAGGAGUCACCAUCCAGACACAGAGGAAACAAGAUGACAAGACAGAACUGAGAAAAGGCACCAAGCCACAUGGCUAAACAUAGGUAAGAAUUAUGGGUUAAAUUAAGUAUAAGAGCUAGUCAGUAAUAAGCCUGAGCUAAUGGCCAAGCAGUUAUAAUUAAUAUAAGCCUCUGUGUGCUUACUUGAGGGACGCAAGUGGGAGAGAUUUGUCCUGACUGCCGGCCAGCCGGGACACAGGAAAACUUCCAACUACACAUGUGUACAUGUGCAUGCAGUGGUUUCAUCAGGGUUGCUUGCAGAGCGUAUGUAAGAGGCUGUCUACCCAAGUACAACAGCUUAUGAAUAGCUCCACCAUGGAGGAAAGUGUCCCUCCCUUCCCCAACAACCAUUAGCUGUCAGGAGAAGUGGGGCUUCAUAUGAUGGACUGGUUGGUUGGCCCCAUCUUGUACUUGUAUGCAAGUGACCACAGCUGCUGUGGAUUCAAGAGUGUAAUGGCCAUGUCAGGCUUAGAAGACAUCCUUCUACAACAUUCCAUGCCUUCCUCUGGCCCUUAGCAUUCUUUCUGCCACCCCUCUUCCAUGAUGUUCUCUGGGCUUUAGAGGGCAGACCCCAGAUCUUGAUAGGCAGAGUGGGGGUGUCAUGUUUUUAAGCUACUACACCUGUCAACAGACAAGAAAAUGAGAGGUGUGGGCAUCUACCUGUACCUCUCCCCCAGCUGGAAUCCUGCAUGAGCUCUCCCUAACACCUCCAAGACCAAAUUCCUAUUCUGGAGCACAAUGGUGAUUAUUACCACACCCAGUUUCCAGGAUGUUGGGGAUGGAGUAAGACAGAGUAUUCAGCGUUUAGUUCAGUGCCUGGUGCACAGUAUGCUGUGGGUGGUAAUGGCAUUGACAUUCUUCCUAAUAACACCUGAAUAUACCAGUAAUGGCUUGCUUUUGGCUACAUGUAACAGAAACCUCCAUAACUGGUUCACCAAAUAGGAACUUCUGAUUUUUUUGUGAAGCUGGAAACUACUAUGACUGUUUAAAGAAUCACCAGAGGCCCAACUACCCCAUUCUUGGCAUGGGACUUCUGUUUUCCCAGCUUUGAGCUGGCGCCUGUGGCCCCAGGAAUUCAUCUCCGUUCCAGGCAGGAAGACAUGAAGGGUAAAAGCCAGAAGCCUUCUCAGGAAUCUCUAUAAUUUCAUCUGGGGAAGUGGUCCUCCCUAGGAAUCUCUAUCCUCAUCUCACUGGCCACCCCUAGCCACACGGCCACCCCUAGCUGUGAGGUAGGCUGACAAGUAUUUCCAGCUAGGCUGACCGGCACCCUAGACACACUGGGGUUCUGAAGAUGCAUUUCUAAGGUAAGGCAGAGAGCAGCGUCAGUGCGCCUAACCUGACCAAGCCCACAAACAUACCUUUCGUGCCAGGACUACCGUGGACCACAUGGGGUAGAUUGAUGUUUUUUUUUGUAUCAAUAAGCACUCUCACUUAGUAUAAACCCCUAAACUGCACUCAGACCACUUUUCCCAGGAAGCUAAAAUCUCACCCAUGUAAGCUUUCCUUUCUAUGACAAAAUGCCUGGAAUCAACUGAGAAGGAUGAAGGAUUUAUUUGGACACUGGGUUUUGAAAGUUUCUGUCUCUCUAUGCCGACUGGAUCUAUC